UAUCUUAGAUUAUUUUGAAAAACCCUUCAAUUUUAUUCUCUUUUAAUUACUGUGUAUUUUAAACUAUAUUAUUGAGACGUCCUAAAUGAUAAAUAGGUACCUAAAGAAGGUAUUUCAGACGGAUUGCAAUAAUAUUUUUUUGUUUAGCCUGGGCAAGUAUUACUUAUCUACUAAAGGUAUUUAUUUAUUAAAAUAGGUUUUAAAGACUUUGCUGGUGUAAAAAGAUUUUACUUAUAUUUCUACACGUUUUACGAUAUUACUUUAGGUAAUAAUGUUUAAUUGUAAAUAAUAUUCUUAUUUAUUAUUAACUUACUUAAUAUUUUCCUAUCUAAUAGCAAUGGGAUUUGUUUACAAAAACGGAAUACAUUAAGUUUAGAUUUUUGAUUGAAAGUUAUCAUAAUCAUAUCAUACAACUUCGCGUACGUUGAUUUUGCUCCGAGAUGAGCAGCUCGAGCACUCGUGGCACGGAUAUCACAAUUAACGGUGGAGUUUUUAACUAAUAUUUUUCUAAUAAUACUUAAAAACAUAUUUACACCCAGACGCAGGAUUGUUAGGUAAUAUAAAUUAACAAUCCUGCGUCUGGGAAAAAUAUAUUUCACAAAGCUAGUUACGUAACGUGUAGGUGUUUAUUUACUGUUAUAAUUAGUUUAUAAAAUCAACGUUUCACUUACUAACUAAAAAUAUUUUUUAGAAUACCCAGAACGAAAUAUGCCUCGGGGAAUUCAUACUUCGAAAAGACAAAGCGGGUUUCAACAGAGAAAAGCCAAAAAGGCUAAAAUGGAUGAAAUUCAGAGCAUGUCCGGUUCUCUUUUCAAAUAUGUCACAAAAGCAGAUAGCGGCCAAAGUUCAAGUAAAGUACCCGAGUCUCCUGCUGACGAAAGUAAUGAUUCACAUCUUGGAGACUCACAUUCAGAUAGCAACAUCGACAAUACAGAAUCAAUGAAGACGACCCAGGACCUUGACGGAAUCAAAAUAAAUAAUGAAAAUGACGCCGUUAAUGCUACUUUCGGAGAUAGCAUUAGCUUUGAAGAAUCAGUUCAACACUUGAGAGAUGUUUCACAUUGGAGUUUACCGGUACCUGAUAAUGUUCGCAUUGACAUAAUAAAAAAGGGCAGUGAACAUUUCCAGAACAAAGAAGGACCGUUUCCUACUGUAUCUCGUCAUGGUUCAAAGAUUAAAGGUGAUUCUCGUCAUCUUUCACAGGAAUGGUUUUAUAAACCGAUGCCUAGUGGUGAAAAAAUUCUACGAUCAUGGAUGGUAUUUUCUCCUAUAUCAAAUAACCUGUACUGUUUUUGCUGUCGUUUAUUUGCUGUCAGUAACAUACAAACAACAUUUACAACUGGAUUUCAGAAGUGGUGGAAACUAAAUCCUAAAGUAUUGGACCAUGAAACUUCAUGUGAACAUUUAGAAAAUUUCGAAAAGUGGAAAACUUUGGAAAUGAGAUUAAAAUCUCACACCACAAUAGAUGAUGCAGCCUUGCAAUUAAUGAAUACGGAAAAACAGAAGUGGAAAAAUCUUUUAUCUCGAUUAUUAGAUAUAACAUUGUUUUUGGCUAAACAAAACCUAGCAUUUCGUGGACAUGAUGAAACCAAAGGGUCGUCUAAUAAAGGUAAUUUCUUAGAACUAGUUAAACUGCUGUCAAAGUAUGAUGCAGUACUCAAAGAACAUAUACUAUAUUUGGAGCAGGAAAAAUCACCUAAAGUAACAUAUUUAUCGCCAGAAAUACAAAAUGAGUUCAUAAAUGUUUUAGCUAAUCAUGUAAAAUGUCAGCUUGUAAACGAAAUUAAAUCGGCAAAAUAUUUCGGUAUCAUGUUUGAUAGCACACCUGACGUUUCACAUGUUGAUCAAAUGUCUGAAGUGAUUCGUUAUGUAAAAAUUAAUAAUAGAAAAGUAGAAGUCAAAGAAGUAUUCUUAGGAUUCUUUCCUUUACAUGGAAAAAAAGCAGCUGACUUAAGCGCUGAAAUACUAAAGAAGCUUGAAAACGAUGGCUUAGAUAUUAUGAUGUGUCGUUCUCAAGGUUAUGAUAAUGCUGCAGUUAUGAGUGGUAUACACGGAGGAGUACAAGCUAUUAUAAAAGAAAAAAACAAUAAAGCAAUUUUUAUUGGUUGUAUAGAUCAUUCAAUUAAUUUAUGCGGCCAACAUUCGUUCGCACAAAAUGUGACUUGUGUUACAUUUUUCGGAGCAGUGGAAACAAUAUUUAACUUUUUUUCAACUUCCACAAGUCGUUGGGAAGUGCUCCUCAAUCACAGCAAAGCAUCUGUUAAAAGACUUUCGACAACGCGAUGGAGUGCUCAUUACGGUGCAGUAAAAGUAUUGGCUGAAAAUUUUGAUGGGAUAAUAUCUGCAAUUGAGGAACUAUGUGACCAAGACGUAAAUUUAGAAACUAGAGGUGCUGCACAAAAUCUUAUGCCUGCUGUGUGCAAUUUCUCAUUUCUUUGUUUUCUUUUCUUUUGGAAUGAUGUGCUAAGGGAAGUGAACAAUGCUCAGAUCGCAUUACAAAGUAAAGGUUUAUGUGUUGAUGAAAUAAUCAUAAAACUAGAAGCACUUCGUCUAUUCAUUGGAGAGAAACGGUUGCAUCUAGCAGAAGAGGCAAUAGAUUUUGCUGUACAAAAAUCGGAAAAAUACAACAUUUCGAUGGAACGACGAAUUCGUCGCAAGAAACGCAUGCCCGGUGAGUUAGCGUCGUCCACCGAGGCUGGACUUACACUUAGAGCGGAACUUCAAAAGGACAUGUUAGAAUGCAUUGACAGAUUCAAUAUUGAACUCGAAACAAGAGUAAAGUCCAUUAAAGACGUAGCUUCAUUGUUUGAGGUUGUGCAGUCAAAGACCUUGCUUUCGGCAAACACUGAACAGUUAAAAUUAGCUAUAUCAAAAUUUACUAACCUUUACGAUGAAGUAUCAGAAACAGAACUCCUUUUAGAAAUACCAAGAUUGAGAAGACAUUUAAAAGCGGCUAAUAUUACUGUCUCUAAUUGGGUGAUACUGGACUUUUUGAAAUUUAUUGUGGAAUGGGAUUUUACAGAAUCUCUUCCGAAUCUAACGGUAGCACUAAAGUUAUUUAUAACAAUAUGUGCAUCAGUAGCUUCAUGUGAGAGAAGUUUCAGCAAAUUAAAAUUAAUUAAAAAUUAUUUGCGGUCUACAAUGACCGAAACCAGAUUAAACAAUCUUGGUAUUUUAACGAUAGAACAUGAAGCAACACAAAAUAUAAAUUUUGAAGACGUGAUUUCGGAGUUCGCUAGUGUCAAAGCUAGAAGGAAGAAAUUUUAAUUUUUAACAAACUAAAUUUGUUUUACAUAAUAAACAAAUAUUUGUAAUAGUUUCGAUUGAGUUUUAGGGUGACACCUAUAAAAUCCGC